rnacentral:rRNA from 1 species
AUUGAACGCUGGCGGCAGGCUUAACACAUGCAAGUCGAGCGGAGAUGAGGUGCUUGCACCUUAUCUUAGCGGCGGACGGGUGAGUAAUGCUUAGGAAUCUGCCUAUUAGUGGGGGACAACAUUCCGAAAGGAAUGCUGAUACCGCAUACGUCCUACGGGAGAAAGCAGGGGCGCUUCGGACCUUGCGCUAAUAGAUGAGCCUAAGUCGGAUUAGCUAGUUGGUGGGGUAAAGGCCUACCAAGGCGACGAUCUGUAGCGGGUCUGAGAGGAUGAUCCGCCACACUGGGACUGAGACACGGCCCAGACUCCUACGGGAGGCAGCAGUGGGGAAUAUUGGACAAUGGGCGGAAGCCUGAUCCAGCCAUGCCGCGUGUGUGAAGAAGGCCUUUUGGUUGUAAAGCACUUUAAGCGAGGAGGAGGCUACCUAGAUUAAUACUCUGGGAUAGUGGACGUUACUCGCAGAAUAAGCACCGGCUAACUCUGUGCCAGCCGCCGCCGUAAGAC